UGUAUCAUUUUGAAAUGACUGAGGAUCAAUGCUGAACUUCUGUUGCAUUGUGGCUUGAUUUUUUUCCCCACUAAUUUAAUUAACUGGAAAGUAGUACAUGCUACAUUAAGAGACAGAAAGAUAAGUACUCAUUUUCCCCAAGGAGCUUAUAAUUGGAUGAGUAGACAGACACGUUAUGGAAUAUGGCAAUAUGGAAGGUAUUCUAGUAGAUUUCUGAAGAAUUUUUUCUAAUGUGAACAUAAAUAAAAUAGAGCAAAGUCCUAUGAGGAUGAACUGAGAACCAUUUUAGAAGGUAGAGUUACAGAGACAAUGAGAGAGACAGAGAGAAAAGCCUUCCUUCCAUUGGUUCACUCUCCAAAUGGCCUCUAUGGACAGUGCUGCACCGAUCCGAAGCCAGGAGCCAGGUGCUUCCUCCCGGUCUCCCAGGGGUAUGACAAAGCAUUACCAAUUCAAGGUCAGUGUGGGUGAAAACAGAAGCUUCCAAUGUGAGGACACCUAAUGCUAAUAAUAGCUUGUCAAGAUCCAAGCAAAAAAAAAAAUAGAAUACAGCAACCUUUUAAGAAUUGACCCUGAAUUUUGUAAAUGUGUCUUACAAAGACCAGCACAGUCCUAAAUGUGAUUAGAAGCCACAUCCAAAUCCCUCUGCUGAGAUUUCCUGUCUCCCUUCAGAGUGCUCUCUCAGUAUACAGUAAAUCAAUAAUUUCUAAAUCUAUAUGCAUACAUGUUUAAUUUAUAAUUUACAGAAAUUUUACUGUGAGUAGUUUUUAUUGUAAGUAAUCUUGCUACAAAACAAACUAUCAUAGAUUUAGUUUAGCUAGUCUUUAAAUUGAAAUUUCAUAAUUUGAUUUUUAUAAACAUCCAUAGAAACACGAAUCCACAAACUCUUUCCUCUCUCUCCAAAGUGAAAAUAAAAUAAUUUUUGGUCCUCCCUCUGCUGGAGUCCCUCAACAAACACUCAAGGGGCUGGUGCUGUGGCACAGCAGAUUAAAGCCCCAGCCUGCAGCACCAGCAUCCCGUGUGAGCACUGGUUUGAGUCUGAGCUGUUCCACUUCUAGUCCAGCUCUCUGCUAAUGUGCCUGGGGAAGCAGUAGAAUAAGGCCCAAAUCUUGGGCCCCUGCAUCCAAGUGGGAAACCUGGAAGAAGCUCCUGAUCCUUCAGAUCAGCUCUCAACUCUAGCCAUAGUGGCCAUUUGGGGAGUGAACCAGCAAAUGGAAGAUCCCCCUUUCUGUCUCUACCUCUCUUUGUAACUCUGUCUUUCAAAUAAAUAAAAAAAAAAAAUCUUAAAAAAAAGCACUCACUAACAGAUUGUGAGCAACCAUAACAAAUGACAUUACAGGAUUAUGAUUCUGCUCUGUAAAAUGCAAGAGGGAUCAUGUAGAAUUUUUAUGCUAUAAAUGUGAAUGUCUAAAUGUUAUACACAUAGACAUUGAUCAAUACAAUAUGUCAAUAAUAAUAAAUAUUUAAGUGACUCCUCAAGUUUUCUUUCUCAGUCUCAUUUACAACAAAGAUAGUAAAUGGAUUUCAGCUCUCAUUUCAACGCUGGUUACUUUGGAGAAUAAGCUCAUUUCUUCUUAUGCAUUGGUGCUGAAAAAAAUCAUUAUUACUUUUCCUAUUACAUGACAGAUGGUCAAUAAAUAUUUGUUGAAGUUAAUGAAUGAUAGUGCUUCACUGAGAAUUGUCUUGAGAAAGAUUUUUUUUGGUGGGGUGGGAAUGGAGGGACCAUCGUGGAGCGUCCAUGUAAUCGUAAAAUGCUUAGUCCCUUAGGCCGGCGCUGCAGCUCACUAGGCUAAUCCUCCGCCUUGCGGCGCCGGCACCCUGGGUUCUAGUCCUGGUCGGGGCACCGGAUUCUGUCCCGGUUGCCCCUCUUCCAGGCCAGCUCUCUGCUGUGGCCAGGGAGUGCAGUGGAGGAUGGCCCAAGUGCUUGGGCCCUGUACCCCAUGGGAGACCAGGAGAAGCACCUGGCUCCUGCCAUCGGAUCAGCGGGGUGCGCCAGCUGCGGCGGCCAUUGGAGGGUGAACUAACGGCAAAGGAAGACCUUUCUCUCUGUCUCUCUUUCUCACUGUCCACUCUGCCUGUCAAAAAAAAAAAAAAAAAUUGCUUAGUCCCACAGACUGAAAUAGGAGUAUUAACCACACAAAUGCUAAAGUUGUAGCCAAGGACUUCUCAACCUUUAGUGAACAAGCAAAUUCCCUGGGGAUCUUAUUAAAAUGUAGAUUCUGAAUCAGUGGUUCUAGGGGAUAAGAGCUCUAUGUUCUGGGCCUCAGGUAAAACUUUGAAUUUAGAGCAUGAUUCUAAAAUUAAUAGUGGUUCUUGUUAAAACUCCCUGAGUUUCUGUUUCAUGAAAUCUUGGGUAGAGACUGGUUAUCUGCAUUUAUAAGAAGUUCCCAGGGCCAGCACUGUGGCAUAGCAGGUAAAGCUGCUACCUACAGUGCCAGCAUCUCAUAUGGGUGCCAGUUCAAGUCCCAGUUGCUCCACUUUCCAUCUAGCUCUCUGCUAUGGCCUGGGAAAGCAGUAGAAGAUGGCAUAAGUACGUGGGCCCCUGCGCUGGUAUGAGAGACCUGGAAGAAACCCCUGGCUCCUGGCUUUGGAUUAGCCCAGCUCCAGCCACUGUGGCCAUUUGGGGAAGGAAUUAGUGGAUAGAAGACCUCUUUGUCUCUUUCUCUGUUUGUCUCUCCCACUGUGCCUCUCUGUAACUCUUUCUAAAAAAUAAAUAAACCUAAAAAAAAAAAAAAAAAAAAGAAGUUCCCAGUUGGUAAAGAUGUUGGUGUGUCUCCCACACAAUACUUUAAGAAUCACUAGCUAGAGUAUGUGAGAAAUAGGAAGCAUCAUUCCUCAGUAAUAAUAAACAAACAGGCAAGUUUGAAGCUCAUUGUGUAUCUGGGUCUUACAAUACAAUUGGGUAAUUUCCAGUUGAUGCUUCCUUUCUUAGCAUUCCAGAUGGAGCCUUGGUUUGUGACCCAUUUAAAAUAUUUCUUUCUUUCUUUUUUUUUAAAUGAUUUAUGUAUUUAUUUUGAAAGACAGAUUUACACACAGAGAAGAGAGAGAGAGAGAUCAUCUUCCAUUUACUGUUUCACUCCCCAACUGGUUGCAACUACUGGAGUUGUGCCAGUCCAAAACCAGGAGCCAGGAGCUUCUUCUGAGUCUUCCACAUGGGUACAGGGAUCCACGGACGUGGACCAUUGUUCUUUUCUUUCCCAGAUGCAUUAGCAGGGAACUGGAUCAGAAGUGGAGCAAUCAGGACAUGAACCAGUGCCCAUAUUUGAGGCCAGUAUCUCAAGCAGCAAUUUUAUCUGCUAUGCCAUAACAUUGGCCCCUAAAAUAUUUCUAGGAAAGUAAUAACCUUUGAAAAAUAUCUAUUUUUUGUAGAUGUCUUGAGGAAUUAAAUGAGGAUCUAUUUCAUCUGUUGUCCUUAAAUGUAAUAAAAAUUCUAUGGAAUUUUUUUUUUUUUUUUUUUUUUUUUUUUGACAGGCAGAGUGGACAGUGAGAGAGAGACAGAGAGAGAAAGGUCUUCCUUUGCCGCUGGUUCACCCUCCAAUGGCCGCCGCUGCAGCCGGCGCACCGCGCUGAUCCUGGCAGGAGCCAGGAGCCAGGUGCUUUUCCUGGUCUCCCAUGGGGUGCAGGGCCCAAGCACCUGGGCCAUCCUCCACUGCACUCCCUGGCCAUAGCAGAGAGCUGGCCUGGAAGAGGGGCAACCGGGACAGAAUCCGGCGCCCCAACCGGGACUAGAACCCGGUGUGCCGGCGCCGCAAGGUGGAGGAUUAGCCUAUUGAGCCACGGCGCCGGCUCUCUAUGGAAUUUUAAGCAGAGAAUCUGUCCCUUUCAAGAGAGAAACAAUCUGACAUAGACAGAUAUAUGUCAUUCACACAUCAUGGCACUUUUUCUCUUUCUUAGGAACUUUAAAUUAAGCAAUUAAGCAAAACAAAACAAAGUCAUGGGCAUGAUUCUCUCUGGCACUGAUGCAUCCUAAGCUAUCUACAGCUGAAUUAAUGUGCUUUGAUGGGAUAUUGACUUACCCAUUUGAAAGUUCAUUUAUCACAAUCCUGUGAACUGUGAAAUAGUUUUCAGCAUUUGGUUAAUCCAGUUCUGUGGUUCAUAAUUUAUUAUUAUGAUUGAGAAAAGGAAGAUUAUAUUGAACCAUUUGAGUCCCCAGAAGAUGUAUUAAAGCAAAAAGAAGAAUCUGAUGAUUUCUGAAAAUGUAAUUUGCCUAGGCCAAGCAAAAAUACAUGUUGAAAACCCAUGAAGCGAAGAAUUCACCUAAUAUUACAUACUUUCAUUGCAAUAUUUUGUUACCUUUGAAUUUUGAGUCUAUGUGUAUUCAAAUGUAUCCUUAAAUGGUAGAAUUCACAUGUGUAGAAGGAAAGGAAAUAGAAGAUCCACAGGGCCAGCAUUUGCCAUAGCAAACCUGCAUUUUGCUUAGCAAACUUUUGGCAUAGCAAAACCAUAAAAAAGCCACCACCUGCUCUGCUGGUAUCCCAUAUGGGCUCCAGUUGUUAUUCUGGCUGCUCCACUUCUGAUCAGCUCUCUAAUAAUGGCCUGGAACAGCCACAGAAGAUGGCCCAAGUGCUUGGACCCCUGCCACCCACAUAGGAGAUCUGGAAGAAACUCUGGCUCCUAGCCAUUGCAGCCAUGUAUGGAGUAAACCAGUGGAUGAAAGAUCUCACUCUUCUAUCUCUCCUCUCUGUGUGUAACUCUGCCUUUCAAAUAAAUAAUAAAUAUUAACUAAAUCUACUUGCACAUGGAAUUUUAUGUCCUACUUAUUAGUCUUCUUUGUUGACUGAGAAUAAUUAUAAUUUUGUGAGUUUUCAUCCACUAAAUAUUUGCCAGUGAAACAUUCUAAAAUAUUCACCAUGUGUAUGUCUUCAUAUCCUUAAUGUUUGUUUUUUGGUUAAUACUGUCUAAUAUCAGCACCACGGGAAGCUUAAUUAGAAAAUUUCCCUUUGUAUUCAGUUUUCCCUUCUGGUAUAAAAUGCCCAUUCUUUGCCAAAUCAUGGCUAUCAUCUACAUUAGUUUAUUUUUUUAAUUUUUUUUACAAACCUUGUUUCAUUAGUUUCUCCUUACCGUGUUUCUUUUAGAGUGUGGGUGCAGACUCAGGUGGUGGCUCUUAUCUGGAUGUUUGCAGUGUGAGCUAAGGCUUUGCUUGUGUUCACUCUCAUACAGAGAAAAUAUCAGGUAGUGUCAAACUUGAGUCCUGAUCCAGUGCUGAGUAACUAUGUAACCUUGCCCAAGUAGAUUAAACUCUGUCUUCAUUCAAAAAAUGGGAACAAUGAAACUUUGCUUCCCAUGUUUGUUACAAAGACUAAAUGAAAUCACAUAUGUGAUACCUAUAAACAGUACCUGACACAUAAUAAGACACCACUAAAUUUUUUUUAUUUGACAGAUAGAGUUAGAGAGUGAGAGAGAGAAAGAGAGAAAGGUCUUCCCUCCGCUGGUUCACCCCCCAAAUGGCCGCUACGGCGGGAGCUACGCCAAUCCGAAGCCAGGAGCCAGGUGAUUCUUCUUGGUGUCCCAUGUGGGUGCAGGGGCCCAAGCACUUGGGUCAUCCUCCACUGCCUUCCUGGGCCACAGCAAAAAGCUGGACUGGAAGAAGAGCAACCAGGACCAGAACCUGGUGCCCACAUGCGAUGUCAGUGCUGCAGGCGAAGGACCAACCAAGUGAGCCACGGCACCGGCCCGAUACCACUAGAUUUUAACUACUAUCAUCAUUGUAAAAUUAUUUUUAAUACAAAGGCAAAAACAGGUUCAACAAAAUGAAGUCACCAAUUGUCAUAGCUUUGGACCUCAUCCAUAAAAUAAAUAUUAUGUUCAUUUAUUAAUUAUUAAAGAAAGACGCUAUAGAGAACUCUUUCUACUUCCCAGUAUAUACGGAAAGCUGGAAUCUGAGAAAGCACAAGAUUACUGACAUUUUGCUUAUACUUAAAUCCCAUGCUUUUUUGAAAAAAAAGAUCAACGGUGAUCAACCAGAUGAAUCCAGCUACAAGAGAGUCCGGAUCCAGAUGAAAUAAAAUACAAGUCAGCCCUGAUUCUUAGAAACUUUAUGGAAAUGUGGGUGUGUCUUAUUCUGGACUAAAUAUUACUUUCUUAAUUUAGUAGUUAUGUUCACAUUCAAUAUCUAAGAUAGUGAAUCUUUGCAAGGCAAUAAAAACAAAAAUAAAUGGGACUAUGUCAAAUUGAGAACCUCUACACUGCAAAGGAAACAUUCAGCAAAGUGAAGAGGCAACAAAUAGAAUGAGAGAAAAUAUUUGUAAACUACGCAAUUGAUAAAGGAUUAAUAUCCAGGAUCUAUAAAGAGCUCAAGAAACUCAAUAACAACAAAACAAACAAGUCAGUUAAGAAAUGGGCAAAAGACAUGAACAAAUAUUUUUCAAAGAAUGAAAUUCACAUGGCCAACAGGCGCAUGAAAAAAAUGUUUAGGAUCACUGCCAUUAGGGAAAUGCAAUAGAAACCAUAAUGAGGUUUUACUUGAACCCAGUUAGAAUGGAUAUCAUCCAGAAAUCAAGUAAGUGCUGGCAAGAAUAAGGGGGAAAUAUACUGUUGGUGGAAAGGUAAAGUAGCACAACCAUAUGAACGACAGUAUGAAGAUUCUUCAGAAAUCUGAAGAUAGAUUUACUAUAUGACCCAGCAAUCCCACUUCUUGGAAUAUAUCCAAAUGAAAUGAAAUCAGCAUAUGAAAAAAGUUAUUUGUACCCCCAAGUUUCUUGCAGCUCAAAUCACAAUAGCUAAGAUAGGGAAUCGACCCAGUCAUCAGUUAAAUGUAGUAUGAACCAACCAGCAGAUAGAAGAUCUCUUUCUCUGUCACUCACUAUGCCUUUUGAAUAUAAAUAAAUAAGUAAAUCAAUAAAUGUCAAAAUAGAAGCAGAUAAGUCCACAUUCUAAAAAAAUAUUUUUAGCACAUGUUUUUGUCAGGAACUAUCAUGUAUAUAAAAUGUCUGUAAAAAUUCAAUAUGGAAUACAAAAACCAUAUUGUAACAAAACAGAUAUCUUGAUUUAAUUGUUGUUUUUAGCCUUGUUUAUACUCUUGCGGAACUUUGGACUUUCUAUUUUUUUAUUUGUUGAAUAUUAAGGUUAGGAGCACAUUAAGCCUGUGAUUUUGGAGUAGACUGAAAUUAUGUUUUUGCAAAAAUUAAAAAAAGGA